AGCCACACUUGGUAGCUCUGAAAGCUGCAAUUGCUUUCGCCUAUGUCAUGAUGCUGCUUAAAUAGUCCUAUCUCUCGAGACUGCUUUUGUUGCCUGAUGGGUAAAGCAUUUAGGUCAUCAUGGUUGUGAAAGCACAUUGUAUAAUGACUCAACAAAGCUGCAGUGCCAUACUUCCCAGUAGUGCCACUGGAAUUACCAGAAAAUAUGUGGGACAAGGAGAUCAAGAGUGAUACCUACCAGAGCAGGGCUUUCAGUGGGAGACACUUGCACAUUUACUCUUCAUUCCCUGCACAGAAAAGGAGUACAAGAAGUGCUUGGAACAGAGAGUCAGAACUUCUG